rnacentral:rRNA from 1 species
GAUGAACGCUAGCUACAGGCUUAACACAUGCAAGUCGCAGGGUAACAUGAGGACAGCUUGCUUUCCUUGAUGACGACUGGCGCACGGGUGAGUAACGCGUAUCCAACCUUCCCAUAACUAAGGGAUAACCCGUUGAAAGACGGCCUAAUACCGUAUGAUAUCGUCUGCUGACUUCAAAUAACGAUUAAAGGUUUAGCGGUUAUGGAUGGGGAUGCGUCUGAUUAGCUGGUUGGCGGGGUAACGGCCCACCAAGGCGACGAUCAGUAGGGGUUAUGAGAGGAAGGUCCCCCACAUCGGAACUGAGGCACAGUCCAAAAUCCUACGCGGGGCAGCAGUGAGGAAUAUUGGUCAAGGAGCGAGAGCCUGAACCAGCCAAGUAGCGUGCAGGACGACGGCCCUAGGGGUUGUAAACUGCUUUUAUGUGAGAAUAAAGUGCGUGACGUGUCAUGCAUUGCAGGUACCACAUGAAUAAGGACCGGCUAAUUCCGUG